GACGGAGGAUGCAAGCGUUAUCCGGAAUGAUUGGGCGUAAAGCGUCCGCAGGUGGCUGUUCAAGUCUGCUGUCAAAGACCGGGGCUUAACUUCGGAAAGGCAGUGGAAACUGAACAGCUAGAGUAUGGUAGGGGCAGAGGGAAUUCCUGGUGUAGCGGUGAAAUGCGUAGAGAUCAGGAAGAACAUCGGUGGCGAAGGCGCUCUGCUGGACCAUAACUGACACUCAGGGACGAAAGCGAGGGGAGCGAAUGGG
rnacentral:rRNA from 1 species